rnacentral:lncRNA from 1 species
CAAAGAACAGACUACGGGUAUUGCCUUCUUAAUCAACAAUAAAGUAUUAGUUGGCUUCCAGGCAGACACCACUGACUUUCAAGAGAAAGGCACGGGAGUAAGGAAGUAAAGAAUUCAGGGCAAACGUCGAGCUUUCCUCUGGGCUCCAAUGUAAAAGAAGUGGAUAGCGGCUGACUAGUGUACAUAUUAUGUAUGCAGACUUUGAAGGAAUCCCCCUUGUUUUUAGCUGUUCUUCCAUUGCUCCUGGAGACUCUGAGCUCAGAGAUUUUCUAGGCUCUGAUGGGCAGAGUGGCUCGUUUCCUCCCUGAAGUUUCCUUCAUGCCACAUUCUGGAUUACAACCUCCUCCAAAGAGUGUCAUCUGUCAAUAUAAUGUCAUCUCUUGAUUUCUCUGUUUUCUUUUCUUCACUAUAAUAGGUAAUUCUAUGUUUUAGCAGAGCUAAAUACAUCGCCUUCAUCUUCAAUCCUGGAGACUAAUUCCUUAUUGAAAACAAACUUUACUAUUUUAUUAUUUAUUACUAUUAUUAUUACUAAUAAUAAAUAUUACUAUUUAUUAUUAAAAAAGUAAUAAGGUACAUUUUAGUUACUUGGACUAUAGAGAAAUUAUAGAAAAAAUUAAAAAUCCACCCACAAUCUUGUAAUCUAGAGAUUACCAUUGUCAAUAUUUCUGUAUUUCUCUAGUAUUCCUACAACAUACAUUUCAAGGUGUCUAGGGUGAGCCAGAGCUUAGAUUUUAAGAAUAGGUUGACAUGUGUACUGGAAGGUUUAAAAUGUUAGCUUC